rnacentral:rRNA from 1 species
AAAUUGAAGAGUUUGAUCAUGGCUCAGAUUGAACGCUGGCGGCAGGCCUAACACAUGCAAGUCGAGCGGUAGCACAGAGAGCUUGCUCUCGGGUGACGAGCGGCGGACGGGUGAGUAAUGUCUGGGAAACUGCCUGAUGGAGGGGGAUAACUACUGGAAACGGUAGCUAAUACCGCAUAACGUCGCAAGACCAAAGUGGGGGACCUUCGGGCCUCAUGCCAUCAGAUGUGCCCAGAUGGGAUUAGCUAGUAGGUGGGGUAACGGCUCACCUAGGCGACGAUCCCUAGCUGGUCUGAGAGGAUGACCAGCCACACUGGAACUGAGACACGGUCCAGACUCCUACGGGAGGCAGCAGUGGGGAAUAUUGCACAAUGGGCGCAAGCCUGAUGCAGCCAUGCCGCGUGUGUGAAGAAGGCCUUCGGGUUGUAAAGCACUUUCAGCGGGGAGGAAGGCGUUAAGGUUAAUAACCUUGGCGAUUGACGUUACCCGCAGAAGAAGCACCGGCUAACUCCGUGCCAGCAGCCGCGGUAAUACGGAGGGUGCAAGCGUUAAUCGGAAUUACUGGGCGUAAAGCGCACGCAGGCGGUCUGUCAAGUCGGAUGUGAAAUCCCCGGGCUCAACCUGGGAACUGCAUUCGAAACUGGCAGGCUAGAGUCUUGUAGAGGGGGGUAGAAUUCCAGGUGUAGCGGUGAAAUGCGUAGAGAUCUGGAGGAAUACCGGUGGCGAAGGCGGCCCCCUGGACAAAGACUGACGCUCAGGUGCGAAAGCGUGGGGAGCAAACAGGAUUAGAUACCCUGGUAGUCCACGCCGUAAACGAUGUCGAUUUGGAGGUUGUGCCCUUGAGGCGUGGCUUCCGGAGCUAACGCGUUAAAUCGACCGCUGGGGGAGUACGGCCGCAAGGUUAAAACUCAAAUGAAUUGACGGGGGCCCGCACAAGCGGUGGAGCAUGUGGUUUAAUUCGAUGCAACGCGAAGAACCUUACCUGGUCUUGACAUCCACAGAACUUUCCAGAGAUGGAUUGGUGCCUUCGGGAACUGUGAGACAGGUGCUGCAUGGCUGUCGUCAGCUCGUGUUGUGAAAUGUUGGGUUAAGUCCCGCAACGAGCGCAACCCUUAUCCUUUGUUGCCAGCGGUUCGGCCGGGAACUCAAAGGAGACUGCCAGUGAUAAACUGGAGGAAGGUGGGGAUGACGUCAAGUCAUCAUGGCCCUUACGACCAGGGCUACACACGUGCUACAAUGGCAUAUACAAAGAGAAGCGACCUCGCGAGAGCAAGCGGACCUCAUAAAGUAUGUCGUAGUCCGGAUUGGAGUCUGCAACUCGACUCCAUGAAGUCGGAAUCGCUAGUAAUCGUAGAUCAGAAUGCUACGGUGAAUACGUUCCCGGGCCUUGUACACACCGCCCGUCACACCAUGGGAGUGGGUUGCAAAAGAAGUAGGUAGCUUAACCUUCGGGAGGGCGCUUACCACUUUGUGAUUCAUGACUGGGGUGAAGUCGUAACAAGGUAACCGUAGGGGAACCUGCGGUUGGAUCACCUCCUUA